UUAUAUAUUCUUUUACUAUAUUCUGCCCCUUUUUUUUUGUCCCAAGCUUAUUGUUGAAGAAAGUUUCUGUUUUUUCUUUUCUGUUUGGUGAAAAGAGAUUGAGUACAUGUGUUCAUUUAUUAUACCCUUCCACCUUUUUAUGAACUGAAGUCAUUUACCCUUGCGUUUCUUUAUCUUGUGUUGAUAAACAGGUACAAGAGGCUCAUGUGUAUGGUGGACCUUACAAAAGACUUCUUUAUGAUGCGUAGUUUCCUGAAGAAUAUAUGUGACCAUGAGAGUGGUGGUGCUCUCUAUAAGAAAAUGUUUGUGUGGAACGAGUUCUUGACUCGGGGAAUUCAAAAUCAUCUAUAGAAUACCGUGUGGACUGUAGCAUUGGUGUAUAGUUUCUUUAAGCAGACAAGUAUUUCUGAAGCUUGACGGACAUUUUAAACUCACUCCUAUUGCUAGGCGCUCCCGCCAUAAUGCUGGAACCAGUUAGAUGGGACUGAAGAGCUUGCAUUCCCGAAGAAUUCCAUAGCUCCGACCAGCAAUUCAUUGCAAUAAAACUAGCACCUUCUCAAUUGUUAAAUUCCUAACCAGGCAAUUCGAAUUUUGCAUCAGGAAAGGCGCCUUAAUUACAAAAAUAAUAGAAGACAUGCACUGACUUGAAAAGCAUUGAGGAAGGCAAGUUGCAACUGGAGACAGAAAAGUUUCAACUUGAGAGCGUCUUGGACACAAUCAUUAGCCAAGUGAUGAUUAUGUUGAGCGAGAGGAAGUCACAACUCAGGGUUGAAGUCGCCCCAGAGAUCAAAACUCUGCCUCUAUAUGGUGACAGAGUAAAGCUUCAGCUCAUUCUUGCUGAUCUUCUGCGCAACAUUGUGAAUCAUGCCCAUUUCCAGAUAGUUGGGUAGGAAUCAAGAUCUCAUCAAGCCACAAGCUUGCGCACGACAAUGAUCCCUAUAUCCAUCUUCAGUUCAGGAUGAUACAUCCUGGAAAAAGAAUUCCUUCAGAGAUACUAAGUGAUAUGUUUGAGACACGAGAUGGAUGGGUCACGCCUGAUGGCUUAGGACUCAAGCUUUCAUGGAAACUACUAGAACAGAUGAAUGGUAGUGUGAGUUAUGUUAGAGAAGACGAACGUUGUUUCUUUCAAGUGGAUCUUCAAGUUAAGACAAGGUUGGGUGUUGAGACCAGAGUAACAUAGACUGGUUCAAGCAUACAAUCGAGAUUCUGAGUUACAAAGGCAUAUAUAUAUAAUAAAAUUUGAUGAAUUUUGCUUCUUUUAUGGUCUGAAUGUGUUGUCAUUCAAACAAAGUUUCCAUUAUUUAUUUAUUUUUUUAUGUAUCAAUAAGAUGUAUCUCAGUCAUUCCUAUGUACAUGAUUAAGCAAACCAAGAAAGAAAAAACAAACAAACCAUAACCAUCAA